rnacentral:rRNA from 1 species
UGAUCCUGGCUCAGGAUGAACGCUGGCGGCGUGCUUAACACAUGCAAGUCGAACGAAGCAAUCUAACGGAAGUUUUCGGAUGGAAGUUAAAUUGACUGAGUGGCGGACGGGUGAGUAACGCGUGGGUAACCUGCCUCACACUGGGGGACAACAGUUAGAAAUGACUGCUAAUACCGCAUAAGCGCACAGGACCGCAUGGUCCGGUGUGAAAAACUCCGGUGGUGUGAGAUGGACCCGCGUUUGAUUAGCUAGUUGGUGGGGUAACGGCCUACCAAGGCGACGAUCAAUAGCCGACCUGAGAGGGUGACCGGCCACAUUGGGACUGAGACACGGCCCAAACUCCUACGGGAGGCAGCAGUGGGGAAUAUUGCACAAUGGGGGAAACCCUGAUGCAGCGACGCCGCGUGAGUGAAGAAGUAUUUCGGUAUGUAAAGCUCUAUCAGCAGGGAAGAAAAUGACGGUACCUGACUAAGAAGCACCGGCUAAAUACGUGCCAGCAGCCGCGGUAAUACGUAUGGUGCAAGCGUUAUCCGGAUUUACUGGGUGUAAAGGGAGCGUAGACGGAGUGGCAAGUCUGAUGUGAAAACCCGGGGCUCAACCCCGGGACUGCAUUGGAAACUGUCAAUCUGGAGUACCGGAGAGGUAAGCGGAAUUCCUAGUGUAGCGGUGAAAUGCGUAGAUAUUAGGAGGAACACCAGUGGCGAAGGCGGCUUACUGGACGAUAACUGACGCUGAGGCUCGAAAGCGUGGGGAGCAAACAGGAUUAGAUACCCUGGUAGUCCACGCCGUAAACG